UACCAGCACAACUAUUUGUUCUCCUUUUUUCUUUCACUUCUACGAAGUAAACCCUAGAUUCAAAAAAAAAAUUCUCCUUUUUUUUGAUUUUUUUCACUCAAAAUCUUUAACCCAAUUUCUGAUCUUAGAUCAGAUUCAUGCUCACCAUGGUUUCUAACAGAUGGGGAUUUAGGCUUCACGGAUUUGAAUUACAGAUGAAAAAGAUGAAACUGAUGGUGAGAAACUAAAAGAAGAAGAUUGAGUUUGUGUUCUGAGAUUCGUGAAUAUCACAGGCGCCAUCCAAAUUCUCGUGUUUUGGAUGUAUACGAGGAGGCUGAGGAGUUGCUGAAAGAAGAACCACAUGUGGAGUUCAGUAGCGUGGUUCCUUCCCCAACUUCUUUUAUUGCAGGAAUUUGUGUACAUCUUGCUAGUAUUUCCUUCAUUUUCUCUGACAUAAAAAUCUUUCUCUCCAUUCUAUACAUCUUAAUUUCAGCUAUUUCAGUUCCACUGAUUUGUUAUUUUGUACUGAAUGUGCUCUCCAGGAAGGUCAUGGACGGUACUUGGACUUGCAUGAGCUGAACAAUGAGUACAUUAAUUCUAAGUUUGCAGAGCUAAAUGAGAAAGCAAAAGAACCAAUAAAGUAUUCUACGUAUCUGGAUUUGUUCUCCCAACCACAUAAAAUUUCAUGUAAACUAAAGCUAAGAAGGUAACUUUGCUGCAGUACAGUACAGUGCAUGAGUUAAUGGACCUGGGUAAGGACAUAUUAAAAGAGGUAUGUCUCUUCUGCUAAAGAUUGAUUGUUUAAAGUUCUCUUGAGUUCGCAUCUGUGAAUUAGUAGUACAGAUAAUUUGUCAUUUGUAUAGUUCAUCUGCGAGUUUACAUUUUCUUAAUAGAUUAUCUCGAUUUUUUUUUUUUGGAUGACCUGUUUUGCUGAAAGGAGGGCUCUUAAGUUUUGUCAAUAUUUCUCUGUUAGUGGGGGCACUAACCUUAAGUUUAAACUGGGGAAGUCUGGUUGAUUGAAGGCUUUAUUUUCUGUAACAGAGUCCAUCGAUCAAAGAUGCACAUUAUGUGGUUGUUGGUAAGCCCAAAAGAUUGCUAGUCAGUCACUUUAAAUUUCAGCUUAUAAUAUAUCUCAAUCACUUUUUUGUAGUCGAUACCUAGCUAGUGCAGGGGAAGAUCAAAUAAUGCAAAUGAUGGCAUCAUAUACUUUGUAUUGGCUUUUCAGUUUUUCCUCAGACCUGCUGGAAGAUUUAUUUGAAUUCAGAAUGUAGUUCUGAAGUAUGGAGGUGAAGCUCUUGACCUUAGAAAAAGACAAUCUUGUUCUUAGACAAAAGCAGUAACCACCCAACUUAAGAGCAAUCACCCCUUGAAAUGCUGUUGCAAAAGAAAGCCUUCUCAUAGACUUCGGAUUUUUAUUUCAGAUUUUUAGCAGCUUCAGUGGAAGUGGGCGUGCCACAUCUUGCUAGCGCAUUGCUCUUGCUGGUUCCUCCAGUAGAAAUGCCUCACAACCCAUGUUGACAACUUAAACUUCAACCUUUGGGCAUGCCUCAUGCAGCAGAAAUAUUCACCUAGGUAGCUGGUUUCCUUAGUUCCAAAGAAUGUGAGAGUUCUUUUUUCUUUAAAUCGUUUUGUAAGAACCUUGGUAUGAUACUCGGUUUAUAGAUUCCUUCAUAUGAUUUUUAUGGUGUGCUUCAUACAUUUUGUGUACGAGUUCAUGAUGGUGAAUUAACUCUAAGAACACUAUCUUGAUACUACUAUUGAUUAAUUUGAUUUCAAA